GGUAUCCAGAGUACCACGAGACACGAGAAACCUUGUGGGAAGCAGGGGGGACCACCCUCCAAGGCAAAAUACCAGUAUGGACCGAUAGCGCAUAGUACCGUGAGGGAAAGGUGAAAAGCACCCCGGGAGGGGAGUGAAAGAGAACCUGAAACCGUAUGUCUACAAACAGUCGAAGCGCGUAUAAUUGCAGCGCGACGGCGUGCCUAUUGAAGAAUGAACCGGCGAGUUACUGUUACUAGCGAGGUUAAGUGGGAAACACGGAGCCGAAGCGAAAGCGAGUCUGAAUAGGGCGAAUAGUUAGUGAUAGUAGACCCGAAACCGUAGUGAUCUAUCCAUGGCCAGGUUGAAGCACAGGUAAAAUUGUGUGGAGGACCGAACUCGUGAGCGUUGAAAAGCUUUGGGAUGAGCUGUGGAUAGGGGUGAAAUGCCAAUCGAACACGGAGAUAGCUGGUUCUCCCCGAAAUAGCUUUAGGGCUAGCCUCAUGGAGAGAAUAUAGGCGGUAGAGCACUGAUCGGGCUAGGGCCCAUACCGGGUACCGAACCUAGUCAAACUACGAAUGGCUAUAUUUAUACAUGGGAGUCAGACUAUGAGUGAUAAGGCCCAUAGUCAAGAGGGAAACAGCCCAGACCACCGACUAAGGUCCCCAAUGCUGUACUAAGUGGCGAAGGAUGUGGAAUUUCUAAAACAACCAGGAUGUUGGCUUAGAAGCAGCCACCAUUUAAAGAGUGCGUAAUAGCUCACUGGUCGAGAGACUCUGCGCCGAAAAUGUCCGGGGCUAAAGUACAGAACCGAAGUCGUGGCAAUAGCAGCAAUGCUAUUGGGUAGGGGAGCGUUCCUAUUGGAUUGAAGCAGUACCGGAAGGAGCUGUGGACUGGUAGGAAGUGAGAAUGCCGGUAUGAGUAGCGAAAAGAAAGGUGAGAAUCCUUUCCACCGAAAGCCUAAGGGUUCCUGAGCAACGAUCGUCGACUCAGGGUAAGUCGGGACCUAAGCCGAGGCGGAAAAGCGUAGGCGAUGGACAACAGGUUGAAAUUCCUGUACUAGUAUGAAUCGUUUGAUCGAUGGAGUGACGCAGACAGAUAGGUCAGCACGAGGAUGGAAAUUCGUGUUUAAGCGUGUAGGUGAAGUGGCAGGCAAAUCCACCACUUCAAAAGCUGAGGCGUGAUGAGGAGCGACCGGAGACGGUAGCGAACUGAUUGAUUCUACACUGCCGAGAAAAGCUUCUAGAGAGAGACAUACUACCCGUACCGAAACCGACACAGGUGGGCGGGGAGAGAAUCCUAAGGUGCGCGGGAAAACCCUCGUUAAGGAACUCGGCAAAAUGCCUCCGUAACUUCGGGAAAAGGAGGACUCAUGUAGUGUGAAGAGCAGUAGCGCUUGGAGCAUGAAUGAGUGGCACAAGAGAGGCGCAAGCGACUGUUUACCACAAACACAGGUGCCUGCUAAAGCGAAAGCUGAUGUAUAGGUGCUGACACCUGCCCGGUGCUGGAAGGUUAAGAGGAGGGGUUAGACUUCGGUCGAAGCUCUGAAUUGAAGCCCCAGUAAACGGCGGCCGUAACUAUAACGGUCCUAAGGUAGCGAAAUUCCUUGUCGGGUAAGUUCCGACCCGCACGAAAGGUGUAACGACUUGCGCACUGUCUCAACGAGGGACCCGGUGAAAUUGAAGUACCUGUGAAGAUGCAGGUUACCCGCGACUGGACAGAAAGACCCCAUGGAGCUUUACUGCAACCUAAGAUUGAAUUUAGUUAAUGAAUGUACAGGAUAGGUGGGAGGCUU
rnacentral:rRNA from 1 species